UCUCAAUGUGUUGUGCAACAAAUAAUAAAGAGGGGUUUUUAAACAAUUGUGACUUUAUUUCCUUUCAGGACCAACAACAUGGAAAAAUUAGCUAGCGAUGCAAGAGCAAGAGAGCAGAGUUUGCGGCGGAAGCUGUGCGGCUCAGUUCAUGAUGGCCAAAAAAUGGCAGGGAAUUGUUGCAUUCUGUAGCUUCCAUGGGAGCCCAGGAACGACAACAUGGAAAAAAUAGCUAGUGAUGCAAGAGCGGGAGAGCAGAGUUUGCAGCGGAAGCUGUGCUGUUCGGUUCAUGGUGGCCAAAAAAAAGCCAAGGAAUAAAAUGCCUGUGUGAGCCAUCUCCCUCUCCAAAUUUCACCCUUUGUGAGUCCGAAUGCUGCAGAUCAUGUGGAUAUGACUCACCCAACAAAGAUGUGACCUUGUAAACAGAAUUCACCCCCUGACCUUUGCAAUAUCUGCACCCCACCGUGAUGUCCAAUUUCCUUAACUGCGAGCUCUACAAGUAUAGUGCCUUCUCCAAAUUGCACUAUGGAUUUCUAAAAAUGUUCUUAUGAAAAAAUGUUGAUGAAAGAAAAAUAGAAGAAGUGGCAAUAUGGUCACUCAAUGAGUGCAGCGAAUAUUCCACAUUUAAGAUGUGCACAGCCAUAAUCUAUGCACUUCUGAAAUCUCUUUGAAGUCCUGUUCCAAAAAUAAUACAAAGUAGGUAUGAAAGAAACACAAAAUGGAAGAUGAGGACUAGUGUCACUAUGAGGACUGAGUUACGGCUGUUUGGUUGAUCUUAACUGUGCAUUUCCAUGCA